CAUACUUUGUAAGCACUCCCCCACUAGGGUCUUGUAUAGUCACCAACUGAUCUUCACAGUCGAUCACUGCUCCAAAACAAUGAUGGGUUUGAGCCAUAAGAACUUUCCUAUGUGCACAUGCAAACCCUAAUGCUUGGAUCUAGGUUUCUCUAAUUGAACAUGCAAUGUAUCCAAGACUUUUAUUGAUAGAUCUAGUAUAAACAUUCAAAUCAUAACAUAUGAAAUCAGAUCUAAAGGAAUACCUUGAGUUGCUUGCUUGAAUCUUCUUGUCUUUGGAGCUGAGAGUCACAAUUGUCACUCCUCUAAUGGCUUACAAAUACCAACUAGCAAGAGGAUGAUAGAGAGAGAGGAGGGUAGGAAUACCUUGAGUUGCUUGCUUGAAUCUUCUUGUCUUUGGAGCUGAGAGUCACAAUUGUCACUCCUCUAAUGGCUUACAAAUACCAACUAGCAAGAGGAUGAUAGAGAGAGAGGAGGGUAAGAAAAUCGGCCCUAGGGUUUCUUGCCUUGCAUGAGUGCCGAUUUCCUCCACCCAAUGGGUCUAUAUAUACUAUGAGCUACUAGGGUUACACCUUAAACCAUAAUUGAAUAACUUAGGCCCUAAGAAAUCCAAUGAUCCCUAUAGACUAGGCCUUGGACGAUUUCUAGGUUUCUCCAAACCCUAAAAUCAUCCACCCUCACAUCCAUAAAGAUUCAAAGACCAAAAAUACAACUAUCACACAUUUGACAGUUUAUGCCCCUUUAUUCAUUUAACCUCUUUAAGUCACCAAAUUAAUUCCUAAUUAAUUUAUUACUUAUAUUAAUCAAAUAACAUUAUUAUUAUUCCUUAUAUUAUUCUCAUAAUAUAUUAAUAAUAUUUCUUCUCUCAUUAUAAAUCAUCCUGUCAANAUAAUAAAUCAUCCUAUCAAGUUGCUAUGGUGAAGGCAACCCAAAAGGACCAUGCACAACCGGGUCAAAUACUUGCCUAAUAUAGUUGCAGCCUUAGACACUAUUCCAACAGUCUCCCACUUGGAUAAGUCUAGUAACUAUAUACACAAGCACAAUCUGAUUAGCAAUCGUAGCUCUUAAAGACGCUAUCAAACUCUGAUCUUAUCAGUCCUGUCCUUUAGAUAAGGGAUCGUACAGUCCUCUGUUCAGAUAUCAUGCGGACACAAUCAUAGUCCAGCGUUUAGUUUCUCGAUCUCAGAUUUAUUCGACAUAGAACUUAAUCUAACACAUCAAUUUAGUUCUGACCGGGCCCGGAACAUAAGUCAAAUCAAAUCAUCGAGCGGCCGAGAUAUCGCUUUUAGCUUCUUAGGAUAAAAGUAACAGAUAAACUUCGACUUAUAUGCAUUUACUUAUUCGCCAAUCAAUCAUACACAACAAUGUGUUUUAUAACAUCAAUUUACUGAUGCGGUUUCGCAUCAUCAAUGUACAACCAAUUAACAAAUAACAAACCAUAUAUCUAGGUUUUAAGACCAUAUGAUAGUAUCAUCUUGUUAUCACUUACAAUAUACAUAUAUACCUUAAAGUGAUUCCAGCAAACACGGGUUUGUUCCAAUGCUCAAAACUAGUUCAUAAGCACUCAUGAACGUUGUAGCAAAACUUUGCUAUGUCUAAUACAAUUUAGACAAUCUACAUACCAAUUCAUGACAAUCUUCUUUCAUAUCUACUUCCAACAUAUGAACAAUUGUGGACCAUUCGAAUAAUUCGUCUAUUCUUAAUAACUCAAUUAUUCAGUAAGUCAAAACAUGCAAAGUGAAACAAUAGUUAAACAAUUAACAUAAGACAGUAACUUUACUUAUAAAUAAUACUCCUUUAUUUAAUCAUCAAAUGUCAAUUACAUUUAUCUAUUACAAGUUUCUAAAACUAUCUAAUCUGAACUAAUAUCAUCCUUCAGCCUAAUACUCCUAGCAUGUUGCAAGUGCUUAACCCUACUCAGUCCCUUCGUAAGCGGAUCUGUUGGGUUAUCUUCUGAUGAUAUCCUCUUAACCACGAGAUGUCCUUCUUCUACUCGAUGUCUAAUAAAGUGAUAUUUUAUGUCGAUAUGAUGAGAUCUACCAUGAUCACUCGGUUCCUUGGUCAAGGCAACCGCUCCUUCAUUAUUACAAAAAAUUUCCACAGGCUCCUUUAUGGCAGGUACAACUCCAAGAUCACCAAUGAAGUUCUUCAACCAUAUUUCCUCCUUCGAUGCUUCGCUUGAUGCAAUGUACUCUGAUUCGCACGUUGAAUUGUCUAUGGUUUCCUACUUGGAACUUUUCCAAGUUACUGCUCCUCCAUUCAGGGUAAAGACCCAGCCCGACUGCGAACGGUAGUUGUCCCUGUCGGUCUGGAAGCUGGCGUCACUAUACCCUUGCACCUUUAAGUCAUCACUCCCUACGAGGACUAAAAACCAUUCCUUGGUCCUCCGAAGGUACUUAAGAAUAUUCUUGACCACAAUCCAAUGGGCUCUGCCAGGGUUCCCUUGAUAUCUACUGACCAUGCUCAAAGCAAAGGCUACAUCAGGGGGAGUACAAGUCAUAGCAUACAUGAUUGAGCCAACUGCGGAAGCGUAAGGUACUCGGCUCAUCUAUGUUAUCUCGGCUUCGGUACUCGGACUUUGCGUCUUACUCAACUUGGCAUUACUUUGUAUCGGUAAUUCUCCCUUCUUCGAAUUUUCCAUACUAAAACGUUUCAGUACUUUAUCUAAGUAAGUGUUCUAACUAAGUCCUAUUAGUCUCUUACUUCGUUCUAUCACUAUCCUUAUUCCCAAGAUAUAGGAAGCCUCUCCGAUGUCCUUCAUAGCGAAGCACUUCCUGAGCCAGGACUUAACCUCCUGUAGUGUCGGGACAUCGUUUCCUAUGAGUAGUAUGUCAUCGACAUACAAAAAGAGGAAGCUAACUAUACUCCCACUGGCUUUGACAUAUACACAUGAUUCAUGUUCGCUUCGUACAAAUCUAAAAUCUUUGACUUUCUCAUCAAAGCAAAGAUUCCAUCUGCAAGACGCUUGCUUAAGCCCAUAAAUGGACUUUUGAAGCUUGCCCACUCUAUUUGGAUGCUUCGGAUCAACAAAACCUUCCGGCUGAACCAUGUAAACAUCCUCAGCCAACUUCCCAUUAAGAAAAGCGGUCUUGACAUCCAUUUUCCAUAUCUCAUAAUCAUGAAAUGCGGCAAUAGCUAGCAUCACCCUAAUAGACUUUAUCUUCGCAACUGGUGAGAAGGUCUCAUCAUAGUCAACUCCGGGAGUUUGAGUAAAGCCCUUCGCAACCAANNNNNNNNNNNNNNNNNNNNNNNNNNNNNNNNNNNNNNNNNNNNNNNNNNNNNNNNNNNNNNNNNNNNNNNNNNNNNNNNNNNNNNNNNNNNNNNNNNNNNNNNNNNNNNNNNNNNNNNNNNNNNNNNNNNNNNNNNNNNNNNNNNNNNNNNNNNNNNNNNNNNNNNNNNNNNNNNNNNNNNNNNNNNNNNNNNNNNNNNNNNNNNNNNNNNNNNNNNNNNNNNNNNNNNNNNNNNNNNNNNNNNNNNNNNNNNNNNNNNNNNNNNNNNNNNNNNNNNNNNNNNNNNNNNNNNNNNNNNNNNNNNNNNNNNNNNNNNNACAUUGUCCUUCGGUCUAUAGAAGAGAUAUCCAAAGGAUGUCUGCGGGUAGCCGAUGAAAAUACAUCGCUCACUUCGAGGUUCAAGCUUGUCGUGAGUAUCUCGUCUUACGAAAGCCUCGCAACCCCAAACCUUGAUAUGUGCCAACGAGGGAGCUUUCCCUGUCCACAUCUCGUGAGGUGUUUUGGCAACCUUCUUAGUAGGGACUCGGUUAAGGAUAUGGGCGGCAGUCUCUAAGGCAUACCCCCAGAAUGAGAUAGGUAGUGAAGCACGACUCAUCAUAGAACGAACCAUGUCUAACAAGGUUCGAUUACGCCUUUCUGCCACACCAUUCAACUGCGGUGUCCUAGGUGGCGUCAAUUGCGAAACUAUUCCGCAUUCUUUGAGAUAGUCGUGGAAUUCAAGACUUAGGUACUCUCCUCCUCGAUCGGAUCGAAGCAUCUUGAUUUUCCUGCCCAAUUGAUUCUCCACUUCAUGUUUGAAUUCUUUGAACUUUUCAAACGUUUCUGACUUGUGCUUGAUUAAGUAAAUAUACCCAUAUCUACUAUAAUCAUCGGUGAAAGUCACAUAGAAGCGGUUCGCAUCCUUUGUGGUGGAUCUAAAGGGUCCACAUACAUCGGUAUGUAUGAGAUCCAAUAAACCCUCACCCCUCUCACAAGUACCAGUGAAGGGUGACUUGGUCAUCUUUCCAAGCAAACAAGACUCACACGUGUCAUCUUCCCUAAGGUCGAAUGACUCCAACACUCCAUCCUUUUGGAGUUGGGCUAUGCGCUUCUUGUUGACAUGUCCAAGACGACAGUGCCACAAACUUGCUUUAUCCAUACUAUUGGAAGAAUCCAUGCAUGAAACAUCAUUUCCUAGGUUAUCUACAAUCAUAACAGUCUCAUAAAUUCCAUUACAAGGCAUUGCUUCAAAAUAUAAAAUACCAUUUAGAUAAGCAUAAAUCGAACCAUUCUCGAAUAUCUAAAUCCUUGUCUAAACAAACCAUGAAAUGAAAUGAUGUUUCUUGCCAUAUAUGGCGAGUAGCAACAAUUAUUCAAAUCUAAACUUAAUCCAUUACUAAGCACUAAAGAAUACACUCCAAUAUUGGUAACAGACGACGAUCUUCUAUUUCCCAUGAUUAGAUUUAUUCUUCCAUGCUCCACAUCCCUAUUUCUUCUUAGUCCCUGCAAUUCAGAACAAAUGUGGUAACCACACCCGGUAUCAAGAACCCAAGAGAUAGCAUGAGAUGAAUCAUUAGAUUUAAUUGUGUAAAUACCUACAAAAGACGGCUUAAUCUUUCCAUCAUUGAUGGCUUGCAGAUAUUCUGGGCAGCUUCUCUUCCAAUUCCCUAUUUUGUGGCAAUGGUGGCACUCUACCUCCUUCGGGUUAGGGUUGGGUUUAGCAGGAUCAACCUUGGUCCCACUAGAAGAGGAACCAUUUCGGGACUUUCCCUUGCGGUGGCUCUUUGAUGGAGCCUUCCUUUUUUUUCCCCUUCCCUGCCCUAUAGCCAAAACAGGAGUAGCGGGUGGAUUGGGAGUUUAUGAAACAGACUUGUCCUUAAGGUUGCUAUCAGCAACCCUUAGGAGCCCUUGGAGCUUGCUUAGGGUGACCUCUUCCUUGUUCAUGUGGUAGGUCAUCCUAAAUUGGUUGUAACACGGAGGCAAGGAGUGAAGGACCAUGUCGAUAGCCAAGUCUUCCCCAAAGUCGACAUUCAACUUGCGAAGACGAUCGACAUACCUUUGCAUCUUUUGCAAGUGUACGGCUAGAGAUUCUCCAUUUCCCAUUUUAGUAGUGAUCAUGUUAGUGAAGAUCUUGUAACGCUCCUGCCUCGCGUUUUGAUGGUAUCUCUCCAAUAAGUCUUGAUGCAUCUCGUACGGAUACAUGUCCUCAUAGGAGUUUUGGAAUUCGGCGUUCAUUGAAGAUCUUGUAACGUUCCUGCCUCGCGUUUUGACAUACUCCUUGUCCUUGUAGCGAGCAAUCGAUCGAAUGUAUCUUAUCCAUUCGCUAAAGUUUGUUCCAUCGAAAGCCACUUUUUGGCAAAGGCUCAUUAACGUGAAUGAGCUAGCAGCAGCGUUGUUUGCGUUCGACAUCUACAAACAGAAAAGGACAAAGUUUGAUUAGAAUUGAAUCCCUAAUUAUCACCCAAUAUGAAAAACUAGGGCUAGGAUCCAACAACAUUAUUUACACAUUAGAAGAGGGAUGCCGUAAUCCAACGUGCAAACAAUUUGAAGGUAAGUGAAUGACGAUUCACUAAUUCUCCACCAUGAAAACAUAACCUUAAGUUUUAAAUGCAUUUAGAAUUCCUAGAUUUCGAUGAGAUUCAUUGAACUUUUCAAUGGCAUGUUUAAAUCUCGAUAUGCCCCUCUCGUUUGUGACUGGGAUACCGAGGAUCACAAAGUGGGUGUGAAUUACCAUGCAAAUUUACAUGGUGCCUUCAUUGUAACAAUCACCUAUUCGAUGUGCCGGUAAACCACACACGCUCCACCGAACUAUGAUAAACAAUGAAUCACCCUUUGCCACCUUUGCUUAGAACCAAUUAGUGUGCCGGUAAACCACACACGCUCCACUAACUUCUUAGCAAGGGUGCAAAGUGUAAUUUCAUGGGUUUGCAUCAAUUCACUUUUCCUAAAGUAACUAGGAUUGGGAAUUUGAAAAACAUGUAGUUACUUUGUAUUUUAAUAUUAUACUUUUAAUGAGGAGAUAGGGUUGCCCUAUCCUACCCGUUCGGCUAACGACCCUCCACCGAUCAAGCAAGCGGUGGGUGUGAGUGUACACCCAUUAAGCGCCAUUUUAUAGACAGCAACCUUAUACCCACCUUAUAGAUCGACUUUUUGAAUGAGGCCUACUAACGGUAAGACUAUCAUUUUAAUUAUACAUAUAUAUAUUAAGCUUGUAAUCAUAUAGUAGUAUAGGGUUGAAUUUUAAACUUGUAAAAUUCUAGGGUUUGAAAUUUAAAUUGUCUAAAUUAAACUUUUAAUCACAAAACUUAAAUUUCAAAACUUGAGGACAAGUUUUAAACUUUUCAAAACAUAAGGGAUCAAAUAACAAAUAAUUUAAAUUAACCAUUUAAUCUCAUAAUUAUCCAUAUUUGAUUUAUUUAAAUGUUUCUUGCAAAACAAUUCACCAAUUUAAUUAAAAUAAUCAAUUAAUAUCAUAUAAGGAAAUUAUUAUUCAACUAAUUGGUAAAUAUCUUUUGUUAGGUCAAGAAUAUACUCACAUAUAUGUUAAAAUUCGAAUUUUAUUGACCCAUAAAGAUUAAGGCAAGUUUCCAUAAGAAAAAUAGCAAGAAAUCCCGAAACUAGCUCCAUCUGACGCUCGAACUCGCCGAGUACCACAAUGGACUCGCCGAGUUGAGGCCUACUCGCCGAGUCCACUAUGGAACUCGUCGAUUUCAUCUGGCAGAUGGACAAAAAUCAAAUUUUGCAAUCAACCAAUGCAUCAAUUCAACAGAAACCAAUCAAGGCUUUGAUACCACUGAUGGGUUUUAGCCAUAAGAACUUUCCUAUGUGCACAUGCAAACCCUAUUGCUUGGAUCUAGGUUUCUCUAAUUGAACAUGCAAUGUAUCCAAGACUUUUAUUGAUAGAUCUAGUAUAAA
rnacentral:lncRNA from 1 species